AUUGAACGCUGGCGGCAGGCCUAACACAUGCAAGUCGAGCGGAUGAAGGGAGCUUUCUCCUGGUUUCAGCGGCGGACGGGUGUGUAUUGCCUAUGAAUCUGCCUGGUAUUGGUGUAUAACGUCUUCAAACGGGCGCUACUACCGCAUACGUCCUGAUCGUGCAACUUGGGGAUCUUCGGACCUCACGCUCUCAUAUGAGCCUAGGUCGGAUUAGCUAGUUGGUGGGGUAAAGGCCUACUAAGGCGACGAUCCGUAACUGGUCUGAGAGGAUGAUAAGUCACACGGGAACGUGGACACGGACAAUAGGACUACGGGAGGCAGCAGUGGGGAAUAGUGGACAGUGGGCGGAAGCAUGAUACAGCCAUGCCGAGUGUGUGAAGAAGGUCUUCGGAGUGUAAAGAACGUUAAGUGGGGAGGAAGGGCAGUAAGUUAAUACCUAGCUGUUGUGACGUUACCAACAGAAUAAGCACCGGCUAACUACGUG
rnacentral:rRNA from 1 species